rnacentral:rRNA from 1 species
UACGUAGGGUGCGAGCGUUAAUCGGAAUUACUGGGCGUAAAGCGUGCGCAGGCGGCGCGUUAAGACAGGUGUGAAAAGCCCCCGAGCUUAACUUGGGAAUUUGCGCUUGUGACUGGCGUGCUGGAGUGUGGCAGAGGGAGGUGGAAUUCCACGUGUAGCAGUGAAAUGCGUAGAGAUGUGGAGGAACACCAAUGGCGAAGGCAGCCUUCUGGGCCAACACUGACGCUCAUGCACGAAAGCGUGGGGAGCAAACAGG